AGAUGUUAGCUUCAAAAUGUGUUACGUGUCUGUCAGAACAAUCACAUGUGGUCAACUGUGAGUAUAUACGCAUGCGUAUAGUAACAGUAGGAGGCAUGCAUGGAUCGGAGAAUCCCAGUUUGGAAUCAUUUGGGAUUUGGAGUCUCUAAUCUCAGCAUGUGGAAAUUGCAAAGUAAACUUGUAUUUAUAUAAACGUCUUGUAUUAAGUGUGUAUACAUGAUACAUGAAUACUUUAGUGAAACAAAAAUUGCAGGCAUUACUGGCAACAAUAGCGAUUUUUAGCUAGAAGAUUGGAAGGCAAUUUUAAAAAGAAGAUUAUUAUGUAAUUGCUGAAAAUAUUGUAAAAAGCAAUACAAACGAAAAAAGGCCUUCCAUGCAGAACAGAAGUGCAGCAUCAUUCAAUACGACAUAUGAAAUAAAAGAGAGUACAGA